rnacentral:rRNA from 1 species
UACAGAGGUGGCAAGCGUUGUUCGGAAUUACUGGGCGUAAAGGGCGCGUAGGCGGCCAUCUAAGUCAGACGUGAAAUCCCCCGGCCUAACCUGGGAACUGCGUCUGAUACUGGACGGCUCGAGUAUGGGAGAGGGAUGUAGAAUUUCAGGUGUAGCGGUGAAAUGCGUAGAUAUCUGGAGGAAUACCGGUGGCGAAGGCGGCAUCCUGGACCAUUUACUGACGCUGAGGCGCGAAAGCUAGGGGAGCAAACGGG